rnacentral:misc_RNA from 1 species
GUUCGAGCGUCAUUUAAACUCUCAAGCUAAGCUUGGUAUUGGAAGAUGUCCUUUGGGACCCUUUCGUAACUCGUCAGUGCGGGACCUUCCGGCUUCAAGCGUAGCAAGUCAUUCGCUUCGUGGUUUGGAUGGACCUCGCACAACGAAACCUUUUUCUACAGUUUGACCUCGGAUCAGGUAGGGAUACCCGCUGAACUUAA